GACGAACGCUGGCGGCGUGCUUAACACAUGCAAGUCGAACGGAAAGGCCCUGCUUUUGUGGGGUGCUCGAGUGGCGAACGGGUGAGUAACACGUGAGUAACCUGCCCUUGACUUUGGGAUAACUUCAGGAAACUGGGGCUAAUACCGGAUAGGAGCUCCUGCUGCAUGGUGGGGGUUGGAAAGUUUCGGCGGUUGGGGAUGGACUCGCGGCUUAUCAGCUUGUUGGUGGGGUAGUGGCUUACCAAGGCUUUGACGGGUAGCCGGCCUGAGAGGGUGACCGGCCACAUUGGGACUGGGAGACGGCCCAGACUCCUACGGGGGGCAGCGGGGGGGAAUAUUGCACAAGGGGCGGAGGCCUGAUGCAGCAACGCCGGGUGGGGGAUGACGGCCUUCGGGUUGUAAACCGCUUUCGCCGGGGACGAAGGGGGGGGGGCGGUAAUGGGGAAAGAAGCACCGGCUAACUACGU
rnacentral:rRNA from 1 species